rnacentral:sRNA from 1 species
GCUGGGCAUGGUGGCGCGUGCCUGUAAUCCCAGCUACUCAGGAGGCUGAGGCAGGAGACUUGCCUGAACCCAGGAGGUGGACGUUGUGGUGAGCCGAGAUCAUGCCAUUGCACUCCAGCCUGGGUAACAAGAGCGAAACUCCGCCUAAAAAAAAAAACUGGUUUCAAUUGUUUUUUCUUUCUUUCUUUUUUUUUCUUGAGACAUAGUCUCACUCUGUCACCCAGGCUGGAGUGCAGUGGCAUGAUCUCAGCUCACGCAACCUCCACCUCUCAGGUUCAAACUAUUCUCCUGCCUCAG